GCAAGUUGGUGAAAUUGGCAUCACAUGAGGCUCAUAAUCUCAAGUUCAGGUUCGAGUCCUGGCUUGCCCC
rnacentral:tRNA from 1 species